rnacentral:rRNA from 1 species
GACGAACGCUGGCGGCGUGCUUAACACAUGCAAGUCGAGCGGUAAGGCCCUUUCGGGGGUACACGAGCGGCGAACGGGUGAGUAACACGUGGGUGACCUGCCCUCAGCUCUGGGAUAAGCCUGGGAAACCGGGUCUAAUACUGGAUAUGACUCCAUGACGCAUGUUGUGGGGUGGAAAGCCUUGUGCGGCUGAGGAUGGGCCCGCGGCCUAUCAGCUUGUUGGUGGGGUGAUGGCCUACCAAGGCGACGACGGGUAGCCGGCCUGAGAGGGCGACCGGCCACACUGGGACUGAGACACGGCCCAGACUCCUACGGGAGGCAGCAGUGGGGAAUCUUGCGCAAUGGGCGAAAGCCUGAUGGUGCGACGCCGCGUGAGGGAUGAAGGUCUUCGGAUUGUAAACCUCUGUCACCGGGGAAGAAACGCUUUGAGUAAAUAGUUCAAAGCCUGA